rnacentral:rRNA from 1 species
UACGAAGGGGGCUAGCGUUGCUCGGAAUCACUGGGCGUAAAGGGUGCGUAGGCGGGUUUUAAGUCAGGGGUGAAAUCCUGGAGCUCAACUCCAGAACUGCCUUUGAUACUGAAAAUCUUGAGUUCGGGAGAGGUGAGUGGAACUGCGAGUGUAGAGGUGAAAUUCGUAGAUAUUCGCAAGAACACCAGUGGCGAAGGCGGCUCACUGGCCCGAUACUGACGCUGAGGCACGAAAGCGUGGGGAGCAAACAGG